AACGAACGCUGGCGGCAGGCCUAACACAUGCAAGUCGAGCGCGCCCUUCGGGGUGAGCGGCGGACGGGUGAGUAACGCGUGGGAACGUGCCCUUCUCUGCGGAAUAGCCUCGGGAAACUGAGAGUAAUACCGCAUACGCCCUUUGGGGGAAAGAUUUAUCGGAGAAGGAUCGGCCCGCGUUGGAUUAGGUAGUUGGUGGGGUAAUGGCCCACCAAGCCGACGAUCCAUAGCUGGUUUGAGAGGAUGAUCAGCCACACUGGGACUGAGACACGGCCCAGCCUCCUACGGGAAGCAGCAGUGGGGAAUCUUAGACAAUGGGGGCAACCCUGAUCGAGCCAUGCCGCGUGAGUGAUGAAGGCCUUAGGGUUGUAAAGCUCUUUCAGCUGGGAAGAUAAUGACGGUACCAGCAGAAGAAGCCCCGGCUAACUCCGUG
rnacentral:rRNA from 1 species